rnacentral:rRNA from 1 species
UACGUAGGGGGCGAGCGUUGUCCGGAUUUAUUGGGCGUAAAGAGCGUGUAGGCGGCCAGGUAGGUCCGUUGUGAAAACUCGAGGCUCAACCUCGAGACGUCGAUGGAAACCAUCUGGCUAGAGUCCGGAAGAGGAGAGUGGAAUUCCUGGUGUAGCGGUGAAAUGCGCAGAUAUCAGGAAGAACACCUAUGGCGAAGGCAGCUCUCUGGGGACGGUACUGAGCUGAGACGCGAAAAGCGUGGGGGGAGCAAACAGG